rnacentral:sRNA from 1 species
AUGUACUCCUCGUACACGCCGGUCCAGAGUGCGCCGUCCGUGCCCGCCUGGCGAUUGCUCGCGACGUCUUGCAAGCC